rnacentral:rRNA from 1 species
CCGGCCGCCGCACGGAGCUCGCACAGUUCGGAUCCGCAAGGACCGGGCCAGCGGGACGUCCGCGUGGCAGGGUGCACUUUCUCCGCGGUCGAGUGCUACGACCGGUUUCGCGGCGGUCAGAAGCCCGGCGGAAAGGUAGCGCCGCCCCUCGGGGUGUCGUGUUAUAGGCCGCCGCGGUGGACUCGCCGCGAGACCGAGGACGCUUGCCGCGCCGAGCGGUCCCGGGCCGUCUGGGGAGGUUCGACCUCGGCUGCACUGCUCCGCAGAGCACCGUAACCGCCGCCCUAGCACGGGUCCGGAGACCGCCGGCGCCUCGGGUCAGUAGCG